AUGCUCUCUUUGGCAGCACAUAUACUAAAAUUGGAACAAUAGAGAGAAGAUUAGCAGGGCCCCUGAACAAGGAUGGCAUGCAAAUUCAUGAAGCAUUCCAUAUUUUU
rnacentral:snRNA from 1 species